CCUACGGGUGGCAGCAGUGAGGAAUAUUGGUCAAUGGCCGGAAGGCUGAACCAGCCAAGUCGCGUGAGGGACGACUGUACUAUGUGUUGUAAACCUCUUUUAUCAGGGAAGAAUAACUGCUACGUGUAGCAUGAUGCCUGUACCUUAUGAAUAAGGAUCGGCUAACUCCGUGCCAGCAGCCGCGGUAAUACGGAGGAUGCGAGCGUUAUCCGGAUUUAUUGGGCGUAAAGCGCUCGGAGGCGGUAUGUCAAGUCAAGGGUGAAAUCCCCGCGCUCAACGUGGGAACUGCCUUUGAAACUGGCAAUCUGGAGUGUGUGAGAGGAUAGUGGAAUUCGAGGUGUAGGAGUGAAAUGCGUAGAUAUCGGGAGGAACAUCGGUGGCGAAGGCGACUAUCUGGCACAUAACUGACGCUGAGGAGCGAAAGCGUGGGUAGCAAACAGGAUUAGAUACCCUAGUAGUC
rnacentral:rRNA from 1 species